GUGGGUUGCACUAGAAGUCCGUAGGCUAACCGCAAGGAGGCAGCGGCCCAAGGUGUGACUCAUGAUUGGGGUGAAGUCGUAACAAGGUAGCCGUAGGUGAACCUGCAGAAGGAUCA
rnacentral:rRNA from 1 species